rnacentral:lncRNA from 1 species
GUCAGUGUAAUAUCUCAGAGUCUUAAAAAACAUAAAAAGGCACAUCGUGUCAGCAGGUGAGGAGUUAUAACUGAAAACCGACAAACUCUGAUAAAACAUUUUCGCAUAACGAAACGAAAUGUAACAAUAAUUAACACCCCGAAGGUAUGUUUACUAUUUAAGUUUGUUUCAGGGACUUUUUGCGCACCGUACUCCGUGUUGCACUCAUGAAUCCGCGACUGCCGUGUGCAGGAUGCGUGACCCGCGCGUAUACGCCUGUGCGUGUGCAUGACGCGCGUGCGCACUGUUCGCUUUUGCACGCGGCCUCCUAUCUGGAGCGUUAUAAAAGCGGUACUCAGAAGCGCUAUCGGCAGAGCGAUUUUUUACGGAACGGCAACUAUGGAUCCGUGUGCCUGUGCCAAAGGUGGCUCCUGUAACUGUGGUGACAGCUGCAAGUGCAAAGACUGCAAGUGUAGCAAAUGCAAGAAAAGCUGCUGCUCUUGCUGUCCAUCUGACUGCAGCAAGUGUGCUUCUGGCUGUGUGUGCAAGGAUGGCAUCUGUGGAGCAAGUUGCUGCCAGUGACUUCACCCCUGGAAUCAAGCUACAACAAUGAUGUAUGCUGGUUGAACUUGUACUUUUGUUUUGUAUAUGUGAGUUCUAAAAUAAAAUGUAUUGUCUCUGACUUGGCUUUGUUUCC